rnacentral:rRNA from 1 species
UUUAUGGAGAGUUUGAUCCUGGCUCAGAGUGAACGCUGGCGGCGUGCCUAAUACAUGCAAGUCGAACGGACAAGUAAGAGCUUGCUCUUAUGAGUUAGUGGCGCACGGGUGAGUAAUGUAUAGUUAAUCUGCCCUAUGCUGGAGGACAACAGUUAGAAAUGACUGCUAAUACUCCAUACUCCUUCUUAACACAAGUUAAGUUGGGAAAGUUUUUUCGGCAUAGGAUGAGACUAUAUUGUAUCAGCUAGUUGGUGAGGUAAUGGCUCACCAAGGCUAUGACGCAUAACUGGUCUGAGAGGAUGAUCAGUCACACUGGAACUGAGACACGGUCCAGACUCCUACGGGAGGCAGCAGUAGGGAAUAUUGCUCAAUGGGCGAAAGCCUGAAGCAGCAACGCCGCGUGGAGGAUGACACUUUUCGGAGCGUAAACUCCUUUUCUUAGGGAAGAAAUUUGACGGUACCUAAGGAAUAAGCACCGGCUAACUCCGUGCCAGCAGCCGCGGUAAUACGGAGGGUGCAAGCGUUACUCGGAAUCACUGGGCGUAAAGGACGCGUAGGCGGAUUAUCAAGUCUUUUGUGAAAUCUAAUGGCUCAACCAUUAAACUGCUUGAGAAACUGAUAAUCUAGAGUGAGGGAGAGGCAGAUGGAAUUGGUGGUGUAGGGGUAAAAUCCGUAGAGAUCACCAGGAAUACCCAUUGCGAAGGCGAUCUGCUAGAACUCAACUGACGCUAAUGCGUGAAAGCGUGGGGAGCAAACAGGAUUAGAUACCCUGGUAGUCCACGCCCUAAACGAUGUAUACUAGUUGUUGCUGUGCUAGUCAUGGCAGUAAUGCACCUAACGGAUUAAGUAUACCGCCUGGGGAGUACGGUCGCAAGAUUAAAACUCAAAGGAAUAGACGGGGACCCGCACAAGCGGUGGAGCAUGUGGUUUAAUUCGAAGAUACGCGAAGAACCUUACCUGGGCUUGAUAUCCUAAGAACCUUGUAGAGAUACGAGGGUGCUAGCUUGCUAGAACUUAGUGACAGGUGCUGCACGGCUGUCGUCAGCUCGUGUCGUGAGAUGUUCGGUUAAGUCCGGCAACGAGCGCAACCCACGUAUUUAGUUGCUAACAGUUUGGCUGAGCACUCUAAAUAUACUGCCUUCGUAAGGAGGAGGAAGGUGUGGACGACGUCAAGUCAUCAUGGCCCUUAUGCCCAGGGCGACACACGUGCUACAAUGGCAUAUACAAUGAGACGCAAUAUCGCGAGAUGGAGCAAAUCUAUAAAAUAUGUCCCAGUUCGGAUUGUUCUCUGCAACUCGAGAGCAUGAAGCCGGAAUCGCUAGUAAUCGUAGAUCAGCCAUGCUACGGUGAAUACGUUCCCGGGUCUUGUACUCACCGCCCGUCACACCAUGGGAGUUGAUUUCACUCGAAGUCGGAAUGCUAAACUAGCUACCGCCCACAGUGGAAUCAGCGACUGGGGUGAAGUCGUAACAAGGUAACCGUAGGAGAACCUGCGGUUGGAUCACCUCCUUUCUA